AUGUGGUUCAUCCCAGCAAUUCUUCCAGAUGGAUGGGCUGUAUAUUUAUUUGAUAUGAUGCGGAAACAAAUCAUUGUGUUAGACCCAGCAGUUGGCCCAUUUGGGUAUAGCAAUCGACGGGUCAGCAUGCACGAGUUUGUAAGCAACAAACUGCAUGCUGCCCUGUUCAACUGUCUACAUAGUUUCUUCAGUUCUUGGCACUGUGAUUCCACUAACUGGGGACGCACAUUCCCGAUCAUAAUGCGGGAAAAAAAUGAGAGAGAUGAAACUGGCUUGGGUGCUACUUUCUUUGCUAGGAAUUUCGACGGUGACAGGCUACAAAUCCCGCUGACCAAAGAGACGUUGGCAUCACACAGCAACCUCAUGUUUUACGAGCUGAUGCGGAUGCAAGGGAACCAAACCAAGGCGGCACACGAUUCACUCGAAGCAAUCAAAGGAACGUUCCUUGUUCUUUAG
rnacentral:rRNA from 1 species